rnacentral:rRNA from 1 species
ACUCCUACGGGAGGCAGCAGUGGGGAAUAUUGGACAAUGGGGGAAACCCUGAUCCAGCCAUGCCGCGUGUGUGAAGAAGGCCUUCGGGUUGUAAAGCACUUUUCAGUUGGGGAGGAAAGGAUUGCAGGUUAAUACCCUGUAGCUGUGACGUUACCCACAGAAGAAGCACCGGCUAACUCCGUGCCAGCAGCCGCGGUAAUACGGAGGGUGCAAGCGUUAAUCGGAAUUACUGGGCGUAAAGCGU